rnacentral:rRNA from 1 species
AUACGGAGGGUGCAAGCGUUACUCGGAAUCACUGGGCGUAAAGCGCGCGCAGGCGGUCUUUUAAGUUGGAUGUGAAAGCCUACGGCUCAACCGUAGAACUGCAUCCAAAACUAUUGGACUAGAGUGUGGGAGGGGAAGAUGGAAUUAGUUGUGUAGGGGUAAAUCCGUAGAGAUAACUAGGAAUACCAAAAGCGAAGGCAAUCUUCUGGAACACUACUGACGCUGAGGCGCGAAAGCGUGGGGAGCAAACAGGAUUAGAAACCCCAGUAGUCC